rnacentral:lncRNA from 1 species
GUAACCUGUCGGGACUCGCAUACGACACCGGAAGACAUUACCUUUUCACGUCGCCGGAAACCCGCAAUCUUUUACAUUCCGUAAUGAACGUAUGUAAACAAGGAACUCGAAGACGCACCGACGCACAAACCGGAACAGUCGGACCACCGUUUCGCCGCGGCCGCCGAAACUUGUAACCUGUCGGAAGUCCACAGCGGGAAUCACGCCACUUGUUCGGUAUAGAUCUCUUAUGUACCUUUCAUGUUCGAUAAUUGCUUUGCUCGUUAUCUUGGAUUGUUCCAAUUUUUACUCGUACGUCCUUACAAGAAAUUGCAACGCAAUCAAUGUGAGUAUACUUGA